AGGUGUGGAGAGAGAAGAUAACUAUACAUGAAGAAGAGGCGCUGCCGGAAGCACCGACUACGCCACUCAACGAACCCCAGAACGACUGAGAAAACGGAGAGUCCCGUUCGGAGGACUUAAAAACACCGAACGCCUUGCCAAGAGGUAAACUUGGUAGUUAUAUUUUUUCUUUCAAUUAUUUUAAAUAGUUUACUUAGUUAACUAUGUUCAUACUAUCCUAAAAAGAAAAAAAUGUUAAAAACAGUACGCCCCAUGUGAGUAUACGAGUGACAUAAAACCCAUAAUUACAUUCACUGUGGUGGCAUAAAAAUAAAAUAAAUAUUUAUUUUCUGCUUUAUAAAAUGAAAAUAUAAAAAUAGAGAGUAACAUUUAUUGAGGAGGC
rnacentral:lncRNA from 1 species